UGCUUCGACCUGUUCACUUCACAGAAAGUGAUUUUCUGUCUUCUAAGAGCUGAUUAUACAAAGGUAAAACCAUGGUCCUGGUACUGGUGUUACUACUGCUCCAUCAAUCUCUGGCUGACCAAGUUUGCAUCAGCAUUUCAAAUUAUGACCUGAACUUCGCRGGGGG